UAUGAAGAACGUAGCGAAAUGCGAUACGUAAUGUGAAUUGCAGAAUUCAGUGAAUCAUCGAGUCUUUGAACGCACAUUGCGCCCCCUGGUAUUCCGGGGGGCAUGCCUGUCCGAGCGUCAUUGCUGCCCUCAAGCACGGCUUGUGUGUUGGGCCUCCGUCCUCCUCCCGGGGGACGGGCCCGAAAGGCAGCGGCGGCACCGCGUCCGGUCCUCGAGCGUAUGGGGCUUCGUCACCCGCUCUUGUAGGCCCGGCCGGCGCUUGCCGACACAUCAAUCUUUUUUCCAGGUUGACCUCGGAUCAGGUAGGGAUACCCGCUGAACUUAAGCAUAUCAAUAAGCGGAGGA
rnacentral:misc_RNA from 1 species